UGGGGAAUAUUGCACAAUGGGGGAAACCCUGAUGCAGCGACGCCGCGUGAACGAAGAAGGUAUUCGUAUCGUAAAGUUCUGUCCUAUGGGAAGAUAAUGACAGUACCAUAGAAGAAAGCUCCGGCUAAAUACGUGCCAGCAGCCGCGGUAAUACGUAUGGAGCGAGCGUUGUCCGGAAUUAUUGGGCGUAAAGGGUACGCAGGCGGUUUAAUAAGUCGAAUGUUAAAGAUCGGGGCUCAACCCCGUAAAGCAUUGGAAACUGAUAAACUUGAGUAGUUGGUAGGAAAGUGGAAUUCCUAGUGUAGUGGUGAAAUACGUAGAUAUUAGGAGGAAUACCAGUAGCGAAGGCGACUUUCUGGACACAAACUGACGCUGAGGUACGAAAGCGUGGGGAGCAAACAGG
rnacentral:rRNA from 1 species